UACGUAGGGGGCAAGCGUUGUCCGGAUUUAUUGGGCGUAAAGAGCGUGUAGGCGGCCAGAUAGGUCCGUUGUGAAAACUCGAGGCUCAACCUCGAGACGCCGAUGGAAACCAUCUGGCUAGAGUCCGGAAGAGGAGAGUGGAAUUCCUGGUGUAGCGGUGAAAUGCGCAGAUAUCAGGAGGAACACCGAUUGCGAAGGCAGCUCGCUGGGACGUAACUGACGCUGAGACGCGAAAGCGUGGGGAGCAAACAGG
rnacentral:rRNA from 1 species